GCCUACGGGGCGCAGCAGUGAGGAAUAUUGGUCAAUGGCCGAGAGGCUGAACCAGCCAAGUCGCGUGAGGGAAGACGGCCCUACGGGUUGUAAACCUCUUUUGUCGGGGAGCAAGGCGAACCACGUGUGGUUCAUUGAGAGUACCCGAAGAAAAAGCAUCGGCUAACUCCGUGCCAGCAGCCGCGGUAAUACGGAGGAUGCGAGCGUUAUCCGGAUUUAUUGGGUUUAAAGGGUGCGCAGGCGGAGGUGAAAGUCAGCGGUCAAAUUGCGGGGCUCAACCCCGUACUGCCGUUGAAACUGCAUCC
rnacentral:rRNA from 1 species